rnacentral:rRNA from 1 species
UACGAAGGACCCAAGCGUUAUCCGGAUUUAUUGGGUUUAAAGGGUGCGUAGGCGGGUUAUUAAGUCAGUGGUGAAAGCUCUCGGCUCAACCGGGAAAUUGCCGUUGAUACUGAUGAUCUUGAGUAUGAUUGAGGUGGGCGGAAUGUGUCAUGUAGCGGUGAAAUGCUUAGAUAUGACACAGAACACCAAUUGCGAAGGCACCUGGCUACGCGAAUAUUGACACUGAUGCACGAAAGCGUGGGGAUCAAACAGG